rnacentral:rRNA from 1 species
GACCCCUGGUAGACGACCAGGUUGAUAGGUUCGGGGUGGAAGCGUGGCAACACGUGCAGCUGACGAAUACUAAUCGGUCGAGGGCUUAUCCUG